GCCCGAAUCCUGACACAGGGAGGUAGUGACAAGAAAUAACAAUACAGGGCUACUUUUAGUCUUGUAAUUGGAAUGAGUACAAUUUACAUCUCUUCACGAGGAUCAAUUGGAGGGCAAGUCUGGUGCCAGCAGCCGCGGUAAUUCCAGCUCCAAUAGCGUAUAUUAAAGUUGUUGCAGUUAAAAAGCUCGUAGUCGGAUUUCGGGGCGGGGCGACCGGUCUGCCGAUGGGUAUGCACUGGUCGGCGCGUCCUUCCUUCCGGAGACCGUGCCUACUCUUAACUGAGCGGGGGCGGGAGACGGAUCGUUUACUUUGAAAAAAUCAGAGUGUUUCAAGCAGGCGUCUCGCCUUUGCAUGGAUUAGCAUGGGAUAAUGAAAUAGGACUUUGGUGCUAUUUUGUUGGUUUCGAACACCGAAGUAAUGAUUAACAGGGACAGUCAGGGGCACUCGUAUUCCGUCGAGAGAGGUGAAAUUCUCAGACCAAUGGAAGACGAACAACUGCGAAAGCAUUUGCCAGGGAUGUUUUCACUGAUCAAGAACGAAAGUUAGGGGAUCGAAGACGAUCAGAUAUCGUCGUAGUCUUAACCAUAAACCAUGCCGACUAGGGAUCGGAGGAUGUUAGAUUUGACUCCUUCGGCACCUUACGGGAAACUAAAGUCUUUGGGUUCCGGGGGGAGUAUGGUCGCAAGGCUGAAACUUAAAGGAAUUGACGGAAGGGCACC
rnacentral:rRNA from 1 species